AUUGAACGCUGGCGGCAGGCCUAACACAUGCAAGUCGAGCGGAUGAAGGGUGCUUGCUCCUGGAUUCAGCUGCGGACGGGUGAGUAAUGCCUAUGAAUCUGCCUGGUUGUUGUUUAUUACGUCCUCAAACGGGCUCUAAUACCGCAUACGUCCUUAUGGAGAAAGUGGGUGAUCUUCGGACCUCACGCUAUCAUAUUAUCCUAGGUCGGAUUUGCUAGUUGGUGUGGUAAAGGCCUACCAAGGCGACGAUCCGUAACUGGUGUGAGAGGAUGAUCAGUCACACUGGAACUGAGACACGGUACAGACUCCUAGGGGAGGCAGCAGUGGGGAAUAUUGGACAAUGGGCGAAAGCAUGAUACAGCAAUGCCGCGUGUGUGAAGAAGGUCUUCGGAUUGUAAAGCACUUUAAGUUGGGAGGAAGGGAAGUAAGUUAAUAACUAGCUGUAUUGACGGUACCAACAGAAUAAGCACCGGCUAACUUCGUG
rnacentral:rRNA from 1 species